rnacentral:rRNA from 1 species
GACGAACGCUGGCGGCGUGCCUAAUACAUGCAAGUCGAACGAGAGCGACCGGUGCUUGCACUGGUCAAUCUAGUGGCGAACGGGUGAGUAACACGUGGGUAACCUGCCCAUCAGAGGGGGAUAACAUCCGGAAACGGAUGCUAAAACCGCAUAGGUCUUCGAGCCGCAUGGCUUGAAGAGGAAAAGAGGCGCAAGCUUCUGCUGAUGGAUGGACCCGCGGUGCAUUAGCUAGUUGGUGAGGUAACGGCUCACCAAGGCCGUGAUGCAUAGCCGACCUGAGAGGGUGAUCGGCCACAUUGGGACUGAGACACGGCCCAAACUCCUACGGGAGGCAGCAGUAGGGAAUCUUCCGCAAAGGACGCAAGUCUGACGGAGCAACGCCGCGUGAGUGAAGAAGGUUUUCGGAUCGUAAAACUCUGUUGUUAGAGAAGAACAAGUGCUAGAGUAACUGUUAGCGCCUUGACGGUAUCUAACCAGAAAGCCACAGCUAACUACGUG